UAACCGAUUGAAAACUACUUAUUCAUUCUACUGUUGGACACACCAAUUCAAUAGUUUUUAAUUUCCGUGUGAAGAUUUGUAUAUUGGUUGAGAAUUAUUUCAGGCUUUGAAUGUUAAUUACAUUACAUAAUUACAAAUUUAAAACAUUCUUUAAAAGAUAGAUCGCCAGAUCUAUCUCUCGUCGAGUACUUUGUGUAAGGUCACAUUAAAACAAUGUCUAUAAAGCGAAACACCGGUGACAUUAGUGACCUUAGACAGGACAGAAUAGCAGCGGAAAUAAAAAACUACCGUGUAAAUCCAUACAGGGUGCCGUUUCAAGUUUCUGCAACAGGUUUGGACAUUGUUAAACUGUCCUGGGACAGCAAUUUGAACAACUGAAAUAAAAUCACAGUGGAAAUGUACAGCUACAAGGGCGCACCUAGCGACGUCAGUCAAAACUAACUCGGCCUUCCAUCUGGUGGACAAAACCUGAAUUAGCAUUUUCGUAACAUCCAGCAUAACAUCUGAAAUUUGUAUUGUUAAUAUUAAAACUGAGCACUAAAAUUAAAAUUUAGAUUAUUGCCUAAUUGUGUAGUGAAAACUGUAAUUAUUUUUUUACUUCGUUAAUCAUUGACUGAUAUCACCAGGAUUAAUUUAUCAAAUUAGUUAAAGGAGAGAUUUUAGAGUAAAUUACUAUGGAUUUUAUUUUUUAUUUCAUUUAUAUUAAUUAUAUACCUCAAGAGAUGAAACGACAUGAACGGCGGUAUCUGUUAAAUUUAUUUUAAAAUAAUUCAGCCUGUAACCUGGUGAGUAGGAUCAGAACUAGUGUUACUGUUCCCCUGGUGGCCAAAAGGUAAAACUACUAUUCUUAUUUUAAUUAUAGCCUUUUAUGACAAAUAUAUAUAUAUUAUAUUUCACCGUGAAAAA